GACUCUCGGCAACGGAUAUCUCGGCUCACGCAUCGAUGAAGAACGUAGCAAAAUGCGAUACUUGGUGUGAAUUGCAGAAUCCCGUGAACCAUCGAGUUUUUGAACGCAAGUUGCGCCCAAAGCCUUUUGGUCGAGGGCACGUCUGCCUGGGUGUCACAC
rnacentral:rRNA from 1 species